rnacentral:rRNA from 1 species
GCUUAACACAUGCAAGUCGAGGGGCAGCAUGGUCUUAGCUUGCUAAGGCCGAUGGCGACCGGCGCACGGGUGAGUAACACGUAUCCAACCUGCCGUCUACUCUUGGACAGCCUUCUGAAAGGAAGAUUAAUACAAGAUGGCAUCAUGAGUCCGCAUGUUCACAUGAUUAAAGGUAUUCCGGUAGACGAUGGGGGUGCGUUCCAUUAGAUAGUAGGCGGGGUAACGGCCCACCUAGUCUUCGAUGGAUAGGGGUUCUGAGAGGAAGGUCCCCCACAUUGGAACUGAGACACGGUCCAAACUCCUACGGGAGGCAGCAGUGAGGAAUAUUGGUCAAUGGGCGCAGGCCUGAACCAGCCAAGUAGCGUGAAGGAUGACUGCCCUAUGGGUUGUAAACUUCUUUUAUAAAGGAAUAAAGUCGGGUAUGGAUACCCGUUUGCAUGUACUUUAUGAAUAAGGAUCGGCUAACUCCGUGCCAGCAGCCGCGGUAAUACGGAGGAUCCGAGCGUUAUCCGGAUUUAUUGGGUUUAAAGGGAGCGUAGAUGGAUGUUUAAGUCAGUUGUGAAAGUUUGCGGCUCAACCGUAAAAUUGCAGUUGAUACUGGAUAUCUUGAGUGCAGUUGAGGCAGGCGGAAUUCGUGGUGUAGCGGUGAAAUGCUUAGAUAUCACGAAGAACUCCGAUUGCGAAGGCAGCCUGCUAAGCUGCAACUGACAUUGAGGCUCGAAAGUGUGGGUAUCAAACAGGAUUAGAUACCCUGGUAGUCCACACGGUAAACGAUGAAUACUCGCUGUUUGCGAUAUACGGCAAGCGGCCAAGCGAAAGCGUUAAGUAUUCCACCUGGGGAGUACGCCGGCAACGGUGAAACUCAAAGGAAUUGACGGGGGCCCGCACAAGCGGAGGAACAUGUGGUUUAAUUCGAUGAUACGCGAGGAACCUUACCCGGGCUUAAAUUGCAGAUGAAUUACGGUGAAAGCCGUAAGCCGCAAGGCAUCUGUGAAGGUGCUGCAUGGUUGUCGUCAGCUCGUGCCGUGAGGUGUCGGCUUAAGUGCCAUAACGAGCGCAACCCUUGUUGUCAGUUACUAACAGGUUCCGCUGAGGACUCUGACAAGACUGCCAUCGUAAGAUGUGAGGAAGGUGGGGAUGACGUCAAAUCAGCACGGCCCUUACGUCCGGGGCUACACACGUGUUACAAUGGGGGGUACAGAGGGCCGCUACCACGCGAGUGGAUGCCAAUCCCAAAAACCUCUCUCAGUUCGGACUGGAGUCUGCAACCCGACUCCACGAAGCUGGAUUCGCUAGUAAUCGCGCAUCAGCCACGGCGCGGUGAAUACGUUCCCGGGCCUUGUACACACCGCCCGUCAAGCCAUGGGAGCCGGGGGUACCUGAAGUGCGUAACCGCGAGGAGCGCCCUAGGGUAAAACUGGUGACUGGGGCUAAGAC